CAAAACAUGCAUAAAUUGUUCUACAACCUGAAACAGUGACACAACAGAUCAGAAAGCAGGAAGCGCAUACUCUGGGACAAAGGGAAAAAGCCAGGUUUUGAGACAACAAAGACGAUGCCUUUAGAAAAAUCUACUUUUUUUCUCCCCUUUUUCUGUAAUUCAAUCUAGGGUAGCUAUGAAAAACCGCUUUCCCUCUUUCUGUCUCCCAUUGCAAACUUCAGAAGCUUCCUCAAUUGCUGUCCAUCUCUCAGUCCUGCAGGCCUUAGCCCUUUCCUCAACCUGGAAGAUCCUUCUUCCCCACUCCUCUUAUCACCAGGCUGACUUCUGAAGCUUUUAGAAUCAGCCUCCUCUAAAAUCCUUCCUUGGUAGUCAAAGGAGCCCUGCUAUCACAGCCAUACAUACCAUCCUGUACCCUGGACCUAAUGUCUGCCUGCUUGUCCCUUGUUUGAGUCUAUAAGCAAAGCCUAUGAGGAGCCACAUCUGUCUUGUUCAGUGCAGUCAAUAAAUAACUGGCCAAUGAAAAAAUAAGGAAGAGGUGUAGAAAUUCAGAGGGCCCCUAACCCUUCUAAUGGGUCAGGCCAGGGGUUUAACAUUUGAUUCCCUGCUACUCCCUCGAGGUUCUUAUUUGCCCUUCAAACCUUGGAAACUGUCAACCAGAGCAAGAGUGUUCCUGUUUGGAGAUCUUAUCUGUAAGCCUCACCACUGGGUGUCGUUUUCCUCUAUCUUGGCAGCCAGGGCAGUCCCCCUCCAUCACAGCUGUUUAAGUGGUGGAGCCUGUCAUCUUGGAUAGAGUGCAAAAACUACAAUGUAAUCUCUCUUUGUUUCAGGGCCACUGACCAGGGGAAACCAAAACUGAGCUGACUGGGCUCUCCUGAUGUGGACUAGCCAGUGGGUCUGUAGUUUCCUACUGUGUUUAAAACUCUUUAUCUGGCAUUGCUAGCAAAUCAGCAAGCUCGCUGGUCAACUGGAGUCUUAUCUCCAGAGCUGGCUCUUCAAAGAGUGACUCAAUGUGUUUGUUUGGCUGACUUCGGUGAUUGAGAACCCCAAAUCUAGAGUCAAACUGCCCAAAUUCCAACACCAGCUCUACCAAUCACCAGCUCUGUCCUGCUGGGGGGACAGAUGAUUUAAACCCCGGGUGCUUUGAUUUUCUCAUUUUAGAAGCUUAUAUAGGUCUCCCUAUGCAGUUCAGGCUGGCCUUGGACUCCCUAUGUAGCCCAGGCUGGCCUUGAACUUGCAGUGAUCCUCCUGC